rfam:Corynebacterium imitans strain DSM 44264, complete genome.
GGGGUCGAUUCAGGUUUCGACUUCAUCGACUAAGCCAGGGGAAGCGUGCCGGUGCAGGCUGGAGACCACCGUAAGCGUCGCAGCAACCAAUAAACGCAGAGAAGAACUCUCAGCGUGACUUCGCCCUCGCUGCCUAAGAGCUAGCGACCGCGAGUCUGUCAGGCCGGGGCCGUCCCCGACCCGGUACCUGGCAUCGACUUAGGGGACUUGCCUUCCCGGCCUGUGAGUGGGCCGCGGAAGGGACUCCUUUUCACUCACUGGGCUCAUCAUCCGGACAUGUCCGCCUGAUCCGGAGAGCCGAGCAGAGGUAGCGUGCGGACUGCGCACGGAGAAGCCCUGGCGCGGUGAUGAAGGACCCGGGUUCAAUUCCCGGCGGCUCCACCG